rnacentral:lncRNA from 1 species
UUUUUGAAGUGCUGUUUCUCUAAAUAUACAGCCAGUCACCAGCAAGCAACACUGUGAACUGCUGAAACAGCCGAAGAAUCAAAUAACUGCACAGGGCUCUCAAUUGGGGAGAGUGAUUCUAGGUUAAGCAAACAAAGGAGUGGUGCCUUUACCUCCUGGUGAACUGCAAGUUUGCAAUGGGCCAGGAUUUCAGGAUGGGCACUUCCCCCACUUACCAAGUGAAAUGCCCCCUGCAGGGCUUGUGAGCGAGGCUUUUCCCAGAGCGUGGGACAGGGUGGCUCCAUGUCUGCAUCUGCUCAUGCCUGCUCUCCCAACCAUUGUCCCAGGGCACAUCAGCAGACCUGCCCUGCAUCUUCUAGCCAGCCGUGCCCUAGCCAGCCAUGCCAGGAGGGACCCUGGCCUCAACAGGAGCAGGCAGAAGCCCAGAUGCACCAGUGAUGCGAUUUGCAGAAAUGAUUUUUCCAGUGACUGUGCCAAUGUAACUGCUGCCAAACCACCCCAGGGACCAACGGGAGCUGGUGAUGACUGUGCCAUGUUCAGGAGGUCACAUGAGGCCAGCAGAGGAUGGAAGAGACCAGCAAAGAGUAAGAUCAGUCAUCCUUCAAAUAACUGCCCUGGGCAGGGAAGGACAUUCUCCUUCUCCAAGAGAUCAUGAGUUGGAGGUGGAACGGAAACUGGACCUGUAAGAAGUGUGCCUGGCAAGAACUUGUGUGUCCUGUCACGGGCAGCUUUCUGUAGAAGCCUGGCUGCGCGUAUCAGGAGAUGUAUCAACCUCCAGAGGAACUUCUUUAAAUUGGCAGUUUCUGACCCAAGUCAGAGAAUUUGAUUCAGCUGUUUUGCAGUGGCAGCCAGC